AUCCAGCUGAUGAGUCACAGAAGGGACGAAACACGCGUCCUGGAU
rnacentral:hammerhead_ribozyme from 1 species